CUGUGGAUUUGGAGAUGAAAGGUGACCUCUUCAUGAAAGUUGCCGUUUAAGGAUGGGCUCGCGUACCAUUAGCUAGUUGGUGGGGUAAUGGCCCACCAAGGCGACGAUGGUUAGCUGGUCUGAGAGGAUGAUCAGCCACACUGGAACUGGAACACGGUCCAGACUCCUACGGGAGGCAGCAGUGAGGAAUUUUGCGCAAUGGGGGAAACCCUGACGCAGCAACGCCGCGUGAGUGAAGAAGGCUUUCGGGUCGUAAAGCUCUGUCAAAUGGGAAAAAGGCCUUUGGCUUAAUAGGUUGAAGGAUUGAUGGUACCAUUGGAGGAAGCACCGGCUAACUCCGUGCCGGCAGCCGCGGUAAUACGGAGGGUGCGAGCGUUGUUCGGAAUUAUUGGGCGUAAAGAGCGUGUAGGCGGGUUGGUAAGUCAGAUGUGAAAGCCCCGGGCUCAACCCGGGAAGUGCAUUUGAAACUGCCUUUCUUGAGUAUGGGAGAGGAGAGUGGAAUUCCCAGUGUAGAGGUGAAAUUCGUAGAUAUUGGGAGGAACACCCGUGGCGAAGGCGACUCUCUGGACCAAUACUGACGCUGAGACGCGAAAGCGUGGGGAGCAAACAGGAUUAGAUACCCUGGUAGUCCACGCCGUAAACGAUGAGAACUAGGUGUAGCGGGCAUUGACCCCUGCUGUGCCGGAGCUAACGCAUUAAGUUCUCCGCCUGGGGAGUACGGCCGCAAGGCUAAAACUCAAAGGAAUUNNCGG
rnacentral:rRNA from 1 species